rnacentral:rRNA from 1 species
CAGUCGCCGCGGUAAAACGAAGGGGGCUAGCGUUGUUCGGAUUUACUGGGCGUAAAGCGCACGUAGGCGGACUUUUAAGUCAGGGGUGAAAUCCCGGGGCUCAACCCCGGAACUGCCUUUGAUACUGGAAGUCUUGAGUAUGGUAGAGGUGAGUGGAAUUCCGAGUGUAGAGGUGAAAUUCGUAGAUAUUCGGAGGAACACCAGUGGCGAAGGCGGCUCACUGGACCAUUACUGACGCUGAGGUGCGAAAGCGUGGGGAGCAAACAGGAUUAGAUACCCGAGUAGUCCCUGUCUCUUAUAC